UACGUAGGGUGCAAGCGUUGUCCGGAAUUAUUGGGUGUAAAGAGCUCGUAGGCGGUUUGUUGCGUCGGCUGUGAAAUCCCGAGGCUCAACCUCGGGUCUGCAGUCGAUACGAGCAAACUAGAGUGUUGCAGGGGAGACUGGAAUUCCUGGUGUAGCGGUGAAAUGCGUAGAUAUCAGGAGGAACACCUGUGGUGUAGACAGCUUACUGGACCAUAACUGACGCUGAGGCACGAAAGCGUGGGUAGCAAACAGG
rnacentral:rRNA from 1 species